rnacentral:rRNA from 2 species
AGAGUUUGAUCCUGGCUCAGAACGAACGCUGGCGGCAGGCUUAACACAUGCAAGUUGAACGGGAUUUGUGUGGUGCUUGCACCAUAUAAUGAGAGUAGCGCACUGGUGAGUAACACGUGGGAACGUGCCUUUUAGUGGGGGAUAACAUCUGGAAACGGAUGCUAAUACCGCAUACGCCCUGAGGGGGAAAGAUUUAUUGCUAAGAGGUCGGCCCGCGGUAGAUUAGGCAGUUGGUGGGGUAAAGGCCUACCAAACCUACGAUCUAUAGCUGGUCUGAGAGGACGAUCAGCCACAUUGGAACUGAGACACGGUCCAGACUCCUACGGGAGGCAGCAGUGAGGAAUAUUGGGCAAUGGAGGCAACUCUGACCCAGCCAUGCCGCGUGAGUGAGAAGGUUUUCGAAUUGUAAAGCUCUUUCGGGUGUGAAGAUGAUGACGGUAACACCAGAAGAAGCCCCGGCAAACUUCGUGCCAGCAGCCGCGGUAAUACGAAGGGGGCGAGCGUUGUUCGGAAUUACUGGGCGUAAAGGGUGUGUAGGCGGUUAAGUAAGAUAGUGGUGAAAUGCCGGGGCUCAACCUCGGAAUUGCCAUUAUGACUAUUUAGCUAGAAUGAUGCAGAGGAUAGCGGAAUACCCAGUGUAGAGGUGAAAUUCGUAGAUAUUGGGUAGAACACCAGAGGCGAAGGCGGCUAUCUGGGCAUUGAUUGACGCUGAGGCACGAAAGCAUGGGGAUCAAACAGGAUUAGAUACCCUGGUAGUCCAUGCUGUAAACGAUGAAUGCUAGUUGUUGGAGGAAUUCAGUGACGCAGUUAACACAAUAAGCAUUCCGCCUGGGGAGUACGGUCGCAAGAUUAAAACUCAAAGGAAUUGACGGGGACCCGCACAAGCGGUGGAGCAUGUGGUUUAAUUCGAAGCAACGCGAAGAACCUUA